GACGAACCGUGCGAACGUUAUUCGGAAUCAUUGGGCUUAAAGGGCGCGUAGGCGGCGGCGUAAGUUGGAAGUGAAAUCCCAUCGGCUCAACCGUGGAAUUGCUCCCAGUACUGCGUCGCUCGAGGGGGAUAGGGGUCUGCGGAACUACCGGUGGAGCGGUGAAAUGUGUUGAUAUCGGUGGGAACGCCAGGGGCGAAAGCGGCAGACUGGACCCUUCCGGACGCGGAUGCGCGAAAGCUAGGGGAGCAACGGG
rnacentral:rRNA from 1 species